UACGGAGGUUGCAAGCGUUGUUCGGAAUUACUGGGCGUAAAGGGAGCGCAGGCGGCCGAAUCAGUCUGAAGUGAAAUCCCGGAGCUUAACUCCGGACGUGCUUUGGAUACUAUUUGGCUUGAGUUCGCGAGAGGUAAGCGGAAUUCCAGGUGUAGCGGUGAAAUGCGUAGAUAUCUGGAGGAACAUCGGUGGCGAAAGCGGCUUACUGGCGCGAUACUGACGCUGAGGCUCGAAAGCGUGGGGAGCGAACGGGAUUAGAUACCCCGGUAGUCCACGCCGUAAACGUUGUGCACUAGGUGUGGGAGGUAUCGACCCCUUCCGUGCCGCAGCUGACGCAUUAAGUGCACCGCCUGGGGAGUACGGUCGCAAGACUGAA
rnacentral:rRNA from 1 species